GGUCAAGCGAAUAAGUGCAUGUGGUGGAUGCCUUGGCGAUCACAGGCGAUGAAGGACGUAGUAGCUUGCGAAAAGCUGCGGGGAGCUGGCAAACGAGCUUUGAUCCGCAGAUGUCCGAAUGGGGAAACCCGGCCCGUAUGGGUCAUCCCUUGCUGAAUACAUAGGCAAGGGAGGCGAACGCAGUGAACUGAAACAUCUAAGUAGCUGCAGGAAAAGAAAUCAACCGAGAUUCCCAGAGUAGUGGCGAGCGAAAUGGGAACAGCCUUGUACUCUUUAGCAGUAUUGUUAGCGGAACGGAAUGGAAAGUCCGGCCAUAGUGGGUGAUAGCCCCGUACGCGAAAACAGUAUUGUGGAACUAGGUGUACGACAAGUAGGGCGGGACACGUGAAAUCCUGUCUGAAGAUGGGGGGACCAUCCUCCAAGGCUAAAUACUCGUGAUCGACCGAUAGUGAACCAGUACCGUGAGGGAAAGGCGAAAAGAACCCCGGGAGGGGAGUGAAAUAGAUCCUGAAACCGCAUGCAUACAAACAGUCGGAGCCUGGAAACGGGUGACGGCGUACCUUUUGUAUAAUGGGUCAGCGACUUACAUUCAGUGGCAAGCUUAACCGAUUAGGGAAGGCGUAGCGAAAGCGAGUCCGAAUAGGGCGUUCAGUCGCUGGGUGUAGACCCGAAACCAAGUGAUCUAUCCAUGGCCAGGUUGAAGGUGCGGUAACACGUACUGGAGGACCGAACCCACUAACGUUGAAAAGUUAGGGGAUGAGCUGUGGAUAGGGGUGAAAGGCUAAACAAACUUGGAAAUAGCUGGUUCUCUCCGAAAACUAUUUAGGUAGUGCCUCGUGUCUCACCUUCGGGGUAGAGCACUGUCAUGGUUGGGGGGUCUAUUGCUGAUUACCCCGCCAUAGCAAACUCCGAAUACCGAAGAGUGCAAUCACGGGAGACAGACAUCGGGUGCUAACGUCCGGUGUCAAGAGGGAAACAACCCAGACCGCCAGCUAAGGUCCCUAAGAUUGGCUAAGUGGGAAACGAAGUGGGAAGGCUAAAACAGUCAGGAGGUUGGCUUAGAAGCAGCCACCCUUUAAAGAAAGCGUAAUAGCUCACUGAUCGAGUCGUCCUGCGCGGAAGAUGUAACGGGGCUAAGCCAGUCACCGAAGCUGCGGAUGCACGUAAGUGCAUGGUAGGAGAGCGUUCUGUAAGCCUGUGAAGGUGUCUUGUAAAGGAUGCUGGAGGUAUCAGAAGUGCGAAUGCUGACAUGAGUAGCGAUAAAGGGGGUGAAAGGCCCCCUCGCCGUAAGCCCAAGGUUUCCUACGCAACGUUCAUCGGCGUAGGGUGAGUCGGCCCCUAAGGCGAGGCAGAGAUGCGUAGCUGAUGGGAAGCAGGUUAAUAUUCCUGCACCGUCGUAUGAUGCGAUGGGGGGACGGAUCGCGGAAGGUUGUCCGGGUGUUGGAAGUCCCGGUCCCUACAUUGGAGAUGGCACUUAGGCAAAUCCGGGUGCGUGAUUCAAGGGUGUGGGGCGAGCGACGUUAGGUCGCGAAGCAAUUGGAAGUGGUUCCAAGAAAAGCCUCUAAGCUUCAGUCAUACGAGACCGUACCGCAAACCGACACAGGUGGGCGAGAUGAGUAUUCUAAGGCGCUUGAGAGAACUCGGGAGAAGGAACUCGGCAAAUUGGUACCGUAACUUCGGGAUAAGGUACGCCCUUGUAGUUUGACUGGCUCGCGCCAGAAGGAUGAAGGGGUUGCAAUAAAAUGGUGGCUGCGACUGUUUAAUAAAAACACAGCACUCUGCAAACACGAAAGUGGACGUAUAGGGUGUGACGCCUGCCCGGUGCCGGAAGAUUAAAUGAUGGGGUGCAAGCUCUUGAUUGAAGUCCCGGUAAACGGCGGCCGUAACUAUAACGGUCCUAAGGUAGCGAAAUUCCUUGUCGGGUAAGUUCCGACCUGCACGAAUGGCGUAACGAUGGCCACACUGUCUCCUCCCGAGACUCAGCGAAGUUGAAGUGUUUGUGAUGAUGCAAUCUCCCCGCGGCUAGACGGAAAGACCCCAUGAACCUUUACUGUAGCUUUGCAUUGGACUUUGAACCGAUCUGUGUAGGAUAGGUGGGAGGCUUUGAAACCGGGACGCUAGUUUCGGUGGAGCCGACCUUGAAAUACCACCCUGGUUUGUUUGAGGUUCUAACCUUGGCCCGUGAAUCCGGGUCGGGGACAGUGCAUGGUAGGCAGUUUGACUGGGGCGGUCUCCUCCCAAAGUGUAACGGAGGAGUUCGAAGGUACGCUUGGUACGGUCGGACAUCGUACCUAAAGUGCAAUGGCAAAAGCGUGCUUAACUGCGAGACCGACAAGUCGAGCAGGUGCGAAAGCAGGACAUAGUGAUCCGGUGGUUCUGUAUGGAAGGGCCAUCGCUCAACGGAUAAAAGGUACUCUGGGAUAACAGGCUGAUACCGCCCAAGAGUUCAUAUCGACGGCGGUGUUUGGCACCUCGAUGUCGGCUCAUCUCAUCCUGGGGCUGUAGCCGGUCCCAAGGGUAUGGCUGUUCGCCAUUUAAAGAGGUACGUGAGCUGGGUUUAAAACGUCGUGAGACAGUUUGGUCCCUAUCUGCCGUGGGCGUUGGAAUCUUGACGGGGGCUGCUCCUAGUACGAGAGGACCGGAGUGGACGUACCGCUGGUGUACCUGUUGUCUCGCCAGAGGCAUCGCAGGGUAGCUAUGUACGGAAGAGAUAACCGCUGAAAGCAUCUAAGCGGGAAACUCGCCUGAAGAUGAGGAUUCCCUGGAGACUUGAUCUCCCUGAAGGGUCGUUCGAGACCAGGACGUUGAUAGGCUGGGUGUGGAAGCGCAGUAAUGCGUUCAGCUAACCAGUACUAAUUGCCCGUGCGGCUUGAUCCU
rnacentral:rRNA from 1 species